rnacentral:rRNA from 1 species
CAGUCGCCGCGGUAAUACGUAGGUGGCAAGCGUUGUCCGGAAUUAUUGGGCGUAAAGCGCGCGCAGGCGGAUCAGUUAGUCUGUCUUAAAAGUUCGGGGCUUAACCCCGUGAGGGGAUGGAAACUGCUGAUCUAGAGUAGCGGAGAGGAAAGUGGAAUUCCUAGUGUAGCGGUGAAAUGCGUAGAUAUUAGGAAGAACACCAGUGGCGAAGGCGACUUUCUGGACGAAAACUGACGCUGAGGCGCGAAAGCCAGGGGAGCGAACGGGAUUAGAUACCCCGGUAGUCCCUGUCUCUUAUACA